rnacentral:lncRNA from 1 species
CACCAGUGUGCAGCCCCACCUGGAUGAUGCAACGGCAGCCAUAGUGCGCCAGAACGCUCCCCACACAUCAGCUCUCAGUGGGGAGGAGAGUAGAGUGAUGAAGCCAAUUCAUAGAGGGGGAUUAUUAGGAGGCCAUGAUUGGUAAGGGCCAAUUGGAAAUUUGGCCAGGACACCGGGGUCCUGGUGUUAUAAAUACAAAAUGGUAAAUACUGAGCCUGAAGAGCUGAGCCUGAAGUUAUUUUCAUUAUUUACAUCAUCUACAUCGCUUCACGCCAACUGAAAUGUUCAGAUCUAUAGAAUUGAAAUCAUGGGAUGUUUGUUAAAUUGUGCACUAGCAAGUCCUCUUUUAAUAUAUUGCAUACAAUUGUAGUGACCGUGUUAAAAAAAUCAAUUUGCCUCUGGAAUCUGUCCACAAAAUGUCCUAAAAUGAGAGGCUGAAUGUUUUUUACAAUUUAAGAGUAUGACUUGUUUCAAGAUCCUCAAAGGCAUUAACAAAGUCAACUCAGCAGAUGUCUUCAGAAUACACAGUGAAACCCAACCAGAGGACACAGGCAGAAACUGUGUGGAAGUCCAUUCCAGACUGGGAGCAAGAGGCACUCCUUAGGGAAAAUGUUAUGGAGGUAUAGCACAAGCUGCCUGGCCAUGUUGUUGAAGCUUAUACCCUGGCCCUGGCUACUUUCAAGACAUGACUAAAUGAAAUCUGUGGUUAAUUAAUUAAAUACUACUUUUUUUCCCUGGGUUUUCACUUAUCUAUGUUAAAAAACAACCACUUAAAACAUUUGCUCUGACCAUUCUUUUUUCAAAUGCUCUAUUAUAAUUAAUACUAAAGUACCCAAUGCUGAUUUGGGGGUAAUCAGGCUAGGACUAUUGCUAAUCAGAGUCUGGGAAACAACCCCUGAGAGUUGCGUUAAUGUUGCAGACUCAACGCCUCAGGGGUGUCUCACCUGUGACUGGGGGAGCACCCUGCAGAAUGGGAUCUGUUACCCUCGCUGCGAGGAGAAACGUUACUUCUCCGAGGAUGAGCUCUGCAAGUUAUGUGACAGCUCCUGCAGACAUUGUGCAGGUCCUGGCCCUGAUCAGUGUCUGACAUGCAAGCCUAACUUUGCUCUACACCCGCUGGAAAACCCGUGUUCCAGGUGCUGUGAGUCUAAACACAACAACACGGGCUGCUGCCACUGCACUGUCAAUUCAGGUACCAAGGCCUUCGAUGUUAUCAGCAGGGAGUGGCAUAGAACAACGAGUGAUCUAUUCAUAAGAAAAUCUAGUGAAAAUAAGGUGAACUGAAGCUGGAUACAUAUGAUACUUUACACAUUUUCUCUACAAUCUGACAGCAACUUCAAAGUUUCAAACUAUUUUGGAACAGCUUCAUUUCCAAUAGAUUUCCAAUAUUUCUUUCACAAGCUGGCUAAGAUAGUUCCCCUUUAUCGGCAUUAC